UACAGAGGGUGCAAGCGUUAAUCGGAUUUACUGGGCGUAAAGCGUGUGUAGGUGGCUUCCUAAGUCGGUUGUGAAAUCCCUGGGCUCAACCUGGGAAUUGCAGUCGAUACUGGGAAGCUCGAGUUCGGUAGAGGGUGACGGAAUUCCUGGUGUAGCGGUGAAAUGCGCAGAUAUCAGGAGGAACACCAAUGGCGAAGGCAGCACUCUGGGGACGUGACUGACGCUGAGACGCGAAAAGCGUGGGGGAGCAAAACAGGG
rnacentral:rRNA from 1 species